rnacentral:sRNA from 1 species
GUUAGAGCUUCUGACAGUGAGGAGAAAUCCGAGUCGAAGCAAUUGCUGAUUGCAAAAAAUAUCCUACACGUAAUGUCCAUCGUAAGGUGUGACAUUCAAUUUCUGGCAACGUACACAUCGAUUGUACACAUUCAAGUUUUACUUUUUAUUUGCAUUGUAAUCAAAAAGGUGCACACUAUGCUUGCAGCAAAAUGGUCAAACUCCCCCCCCACCCUUACAAAACCACCAUAAGCUGCAUCUACUUCGCUCAUUCUUCCGACGUCUGUAUUAACUGGCGGCGUUUUCCAGGCGCAGGUAGGAGGGUAGUGUUGGGCAGAAUUGUUACCGUCGCGCAAUCACAGAGUCGCAGAUACUAAUUGUAUGCACUGCCAGCUGGUAAAAGACGAUAUCUCAACUGCUUGUAGCUGAGCACCC